rnacentral:rRNA from 1 species
GCCUAAUACAUGCAAGUAGAACGCUGAAGACUUUAGCUUGCUAAAGUUGGAAGAGUUGCGAACGGGUGAGUAACGCGUAGGUAACCUGCCUACUAGCGGGGGAUAACUAUUGGAAACGAUAGCUAAUACCGCAUAACAGCUUUUAACUCAUGUUAGGAGCUUGAAAGAUGCAAUUGCAUCACUAGUAGAUGGACCUGCGUUGUAUUAGCUAGUUGGUGAGGUAACGGCUCACCAAGGCGACGAUACAUAGCCGACCUGAGAGGGUGAUCGGCCACACUGGGACUGAGACACGGCCCAGACUCCUACGGGAGGCAGCAGUAGGGAAUCUUCGGCAAUGGGGGCAACCCUGACCGAGCAACGCCGCGUGAGUGAAGAAGGUUUUCGGAUCGUAAAGCUCUGUUGUAAGA